rnacentral:rRNA from 1 species
CACGGCUUAACUGUGAGCGUGCGGGCGAUACGGGCAGACUUGAGUACUGCAGGGGAGACUGGAAUUCCUGGUGUAGCGGUGGAAUGCGCAGAUAUCAGGAGGAACACCGGUGGCGAAGGCGGGUCUCUGGGCAGUAACUGACGCUGAGGAGCGAAAGCGUGGGGAGCGAACAGGAUUAGAUACCCUGGUAGUCCACGCCGUAAACGGUGGGUACUAGGUGUGGGUUUCCUUCCUUGGGAUCCGUGCCGUAGCUAACGCAUUAAGUACCCCGCCUGGGGAGUACGGCCGCAAGGCUAAAACUCAAAGAAAUUGACGGGGGCCCGCACAAGCGGCGGAGCAUGUGGAUUAAUUCGAUGCAACGCGAAGAACCUUACCUGGGUUUGACAUGCACAGGACGCCGGCAGAGAUGUCGGUUCCCUUGUGGCCUGUGUGCAGGUGGUGCAUGGCUGUCGUCAGCUCGUGUCGUGAGAUGUUGGGUUAAGUCCCGCAACGAGCGCAACCCUUGUCUCAUGUUGCCAGCGGGUAAUGCCGGGGACUCGUGAGAGACUGCCGGGGUCAACUCGGAGGAAGGUGGGGAUGACGUCAAGUCAUCAUGCCCCUUAUGUCCAGGGCUUCACACAUGCUACAAUGGCCGGUACAAAGGGCUGCGAUGCCGCUAGGUUAAGCGAAUCCUUUUAAAGCCGGUCUCAGUUCGGAUCGGGGUCUGCAACUCGACCCCGUGAAGUCGGA